rnacentral:rRNA from 1 species
UACGAAGGGGGCUAGCGUUGCUCGGAAUCACUGGGCGUAAAGCGCACGUAGGCGGAUCUUUAAGCCAGGGGUGAAAUCCCGGGGCUCAACCCCGGAACUGCCUUUGAUACUGGUAGUCUCGAGUCCGGAAGAGGUGAGUGGAAUUCCGAGUGUAGAGGUGAAAUUCGUAGAUAUUCGGAGGAACACCAGUGGCGAAGGCGGCUCACUGGUCCGGUACUGACGCUGAGGUGCGAAAGCGUGGGGAGCAAACAGG